GGCCUUUUGAUUUUAAUUUAAGGUUUAACCUGCCCAAUGAUUUUAUUUUAAGGCCGCGGUAUUUUGACCGGGCAAAGGUAGCAUAAUCAUUAGUUUUUUAAUUGAAAGCUGGAAUGAAGGGUUGAAUGAGAAAAUAACUGUUUUUUUUAUAUUUUAUUAAAAUUUUAUUUUUAAGUUAAAAAGCUUAAAUUUUAUUUAAAGACGAGAAGACCCUUUAGAGUUUUAUAAAAAUUAUUAUUUUUUUUUUUUUUAGUAUUAAUAAAAUGAAAAAUUUAUUUUUAUUUGGUUGGGGUGAUUAAAAAAUUUAAAAAACUUUUUUUUAAAAAGCACAUUUAUUUAUGAAUAUUUGAUCCAUAUAUUAUGAUUAAAAGAAAAAAUUACCUAAGGGAUAACAGCGUUAUUUUUUUUAAGAGUUCAAAUCGAAAAAAAAGAUUGCGACCUCGAUG
rnacentral:rRNA from 1 species